rnacentral:rRNA from 1 species
GACGAACGCUGGCGGCGUGCCUAAUACAUGCAAGUAGAACGCUGAAGAGAGGAGCUUGCUCUUCUUGGAUGAGUUGCGAACGGGUGAGUAACGCGUAGGUAACCUGCCUGGUAGCGGGGGAUAACUAUUGGAAACGAUAGCUAAUACCGCAUAAAAUGGAUUAUCGCAUGAUAAUCCAUUGAAAGAUGCAAAUGCAUCACUACCAGAUGGACCUGCGUUGUAUUAGCUAGUUGGUGGGGUAACGGCUCACCAAGGCGACGAUACAUAGCCGACCUGAGAGGGUGAUCGGCCACACUGGGACUGAGACACGGCCCAGACUCCUACGGGAGGCAGCAGUAGGGAAUCUUCGGCAAUGGACGGAAGUCUGACCGAGCAACGCCGCGUGAGUGAAGAAGGUUUUCGGAUCGUAAAGCUCUGUUGUAAGAGAAGAACGAGUGUGAGAGUGGAAAGUUCACACUGUGACGGUAUCUUACCA